UUUCGGCAGCCACAAAGUGGGUAAGAACACCCACAAAACUCAUCUAAACACUAGCUAAUAAUAAGGUUUAAGUUAGGCUAAGCAAGGGUUGGAUUAGGCUAUAGAUUAAGGGGCAUUUUGAGGUUAAAACGAGGGUAUUCUUGGAGCUUAAAGGCCACGAAAAUCUGCCCUUUUUCCAUCUCCAAAAAGUGUUCUUCAAGGGCUUGCUUGAGGAACGACACCACUAGGCGCAUUCCACGUACUUGAUCAGCCCCUAACACCCUCCAAUCAAGUUUAGAGCAGUAGGUUUGCUAAUGGACCGCCUCUGGAUGUUGUAACUGUUUGAUGUUUGAAGGCUUGUAAUGCAAACAAGUAUCUUUUAAUUCGGAUUUGGAUUUAUGUAAUGGUCUUAAACAAUUGAAUUUGAACUAUGUAAUCGUUUAUU